rnacentral:tRNA from 1 species
GCCUUCAUGUUAUAAUGGUCAGCACGCUCGACGCGUAUUCGAGAGGUCCGUGGUUCGAGUCCCGGCGAGGGCA